rnacentral:rRNA from 1 species
CUACGGGUCGCUGCAGUGGGGAAUAUUGCACAAUGGGCGCAAGCCUGAUGCAGCCAUGCCGCGUGUAUGAAGAAGGCCUUCGGGUUGUAAAGUACUUUCAGCGGGGAGGAAGGGAGUAAAGUUAAUACCUUUGCUCAUUGACGUUACCCGCAGAAGAAGCACCGGCUAACUCCGUGCCAGCAGCCGCGGUAGAUACGGAGGGUGCAAGCGUUAAUCGGAAUUACUGGGCGUAAAGCGCACGCAGGCGGUUUGUUAAGUCAGAUGUGAAAUCCCCGGGCUCAACCUGGGAACUGCAUCUGAUACUGGCAAGCUUGAGUGUCGAAGAGGGGGGUAGAAUUCCAGGUGUAGCGGUGAAAUGCGUAGAGAUCUGGAGGAAUACCGGUGGCGAAGGCGGCCCCCUGGACGAAGACUGACGCUCAGGUGCGAAAGCGUGGGGAGCAAACAGGAUUAGAUACCCCAGUAGUC